rnacentral:ncRNA from 1 species
AGCUAGAGGCGCGAAGGCCAUGAGUACCCUCUUCGAGAUGCGGGCAUUGACGACAGGAGCGGGAAAGGGGCAUUCGCCGAAGUGCGGCCGAUUUGCUCGACAUCUGCCGUGCUGGGCCUGCGUUGAACAAGCGCAGGACUGUCAUCCGCGUGGUUGCCUGUCACCCGGAUGGAGAGCUAA